rnacentral:rRNA from 1 species
AUUGAACGCUGGCGGCAGGCCUAACACAUGCAAGUCGAGCGGAUGAAGGGAGCUUGCUCCUGGAUUCAGCGGCGGACGGGUGAGUAAUGCGUAGGAAUCUGCCUGGUAGUGGGGGAUAACGUCCGGAAACGGGCGCUAAUACCGCAUACGUCCUGAGGGAGAAAGUGGGGGAUCUUCGGACCUCACGCUAUCAGAUGAGCCUAGGUCGGAUUAGCUAGUUGGUGGGGUAAAGGCCUACCAAGGCGACGAUCCGUAACUGGUCUGAGAGGAUGAUCAGUCACACUGGAACUGAGACACGGUCCAGACUCCUACGGGAGGCAGCAGUGGGGAAUAUUGGACAAUGGGCGAAAGCCUGAUCCAGCCAUGCCGCGUGUGUGAAGAAGGUCUUCGGAUUGUAAAACACUUUAAGUUGAGAGGAAGGGCAGUAAGUUAAUACCUUGCUGUUGUGACGUUACCAACAGAAUAAGCACCGGCUAACUUCGUG